rnacentral:rRNA from 1 species
GUAGGUGGCAAGCGUUGUCCGGAAUUAUUGGGCGUAAAGCGCGCGCAGGCGGGGUCCUUUAAGUCUGAUGUGAAAGCCCACGGGCUCAACCGUGGAGGGUCAUUGGAAACUGGGGGACUUGAGUACAGAAGAGGAAAGCGGAAUUCCAAGUGUAGCGGUGAAAUGCGUAGAGAUUUGGAGGAACACCAGUGGCGAAGGCGGCUUUCUGGUCUGUAACUGAUGCUGAGGCGCGAAAGCGUGGGGAGCAAACAGGAUUAGAUACCCUGGUAGUCCACGCCGUAAACGAUGAGUGCUAAGUGUUAGGGGGUUUCCGCCCCUUAGUGCUGCAGCUAACGCAUUAAGCACUCCGCCUGGGGAGUACGGCCGCAAGGCUG